rnacentral:misc_RNA from 1 species
GAAACCUACAAUGAGUGCCAAUGCGAAAAACACAUCUCGAAAGCCAAAGCGCAGAUACGCAGACAAGUAGAGAUUCCCCCGGUGCGGUCUUUGGAGUGCUCAAGAUAUAUGCAGCAGAAACCUUCAUGGCAAAAUGGUGUGUGCGAUCUUUGAAGAAUCAUAGUGUAUGGGGUUUGGUGAGUCAUUUCCUUUCGAUGUAUGAUAGUCAGCUACGGAACCUUCGUCAGUUAUCUUGUGCGUUAGUAGUUUCCAAGUGUAUUCUUUUGUUGGUGUAUCCUGUUUUAUGAAUAAGGUUUGUUUUCUA